GAGCCAUUAGCUCAGUCGGUAGAGCACAUGACUUUUAAUCAUGGUGUCACUGGUUCGAUUCCAGUAUGGCUCA
rfam:Sebaldella termitidis ATCC 33386, complete genome.